rnacentral:lncRNA from 1 species
AUCCCUCAAUAUCUCAUCCGGUAUAAGGAUGAAACGGGUCAUUCUCAUACUCCAUCCAGUAUUAGUGCUAAAAAUACCAAUCUUCGAUACGCCGUCCGAUAUGAGGCGACGUUCACGAUAGGGUUCCCUAUGCACCCAGUCCAUCCACCAUCUCCCAGGAUAUCCAGUAGUUCAUUUACUUAACCAAUCAUUAUCUUUAAUUUUAAGUUUUAUAAUUUAGUCGUAAAUCAAUGCAAGACAAACAAUACAUGCAUCAAGAAAACAUAACUAAAUUAUUUUACCAAUUCUAAUAUAUUAUCAUGCAU